rnacentral:rRNA from 1 species
UACGUAGGUGGCAAGCGUUGUCCGGAUUUAUUGGGUUAAAGGGUGCGUAGGCGGCCCUGUAAGUCAGUGCUGAAAUAUCCCAGCUUAACUGGGAGGGUGGCAUUGAUACUGCGGGGCUAGAGUACAGAUGAGGUAGGCGGAAUUGACGGUGUAGCGGUGAAAUGCUUAGAUAUCGUCAAGAACACCUAUAGCGAAGGCAGCUUACUAGGCUGUAACUGACGCUCAGGCACGAAAGCGUGGGGAGCAAACAGG